rnacentral:rRNA from 1 species
UUGAACGCUGGCGGCAGGCCUCACACAUGCAAGUCGAGCGGAUGAAGGGAGCUUGCUCCUGGAUUCAGCGGCGGGCGGGUGAGUAAUGCCUAGGAAUCUGCCUGGUAGUGGGGGAUAACGUCCGGAAACGGGCGCUAAUACCGCAUACGUCCUGAGGGAGAAAGUGGGGGAUCUUCGGACCUCACGCUAUCAGAUGAGCCUAGGUCGGAUUAGCUAGUUGGUGGGGUAAAGGCCUACCAAGGCGACGAUCCGUAACUGGUCUGAGAGGAUGAUCAGUCACACUGGAACUGAGACACGGUCCAGACUCCUACGGGAGGCAGCAGUGGGGAAUAUUGGACAAUGGGCGAAAGCCUGAUCCAGCCAUGCCGCGUGUGUGAAGAAGGUCUUCGGAUUGUAAAGCACUUUAAGUUGGGAGGAAGGGCAGUAAGUUAAUACCUUGCUGUUUUGACGUUACCAACAGAAUAAGCACCGGCUAACUUCGUG